UACGGGGGGGGCAAGCGUUGUUCGGAAUUACUGGGCGUAAAGGGCGCGUAGGCGGCCUGUUAAGUCGAACGUGAAAUCCCCGGGCUCAACCCGGGAACUGCGUCCGAUACUGGCAGGCUUGAAUUCGGGAGAGGGAUGCGGAAUUCCAGGUGUAGCGGUGAAAUGCGUAGAUAUCUGGAGGAAUACCGGUGGCGAAGGCGGCAUCCUGGACCGGCAUUGACGCUGAGGAGCGAAAGCCAGGGGAGCAAACGGG
rnacentral:rRNA from 1 species